rnacentral:lncRNA from 1 species
UGAGAAAUCAAUCCUUUAAUAAGAGAUUAAGAGUUAAUUGAAAAGUAAAAUUAAAUUGAACAAGGCAGAGCCUAGAGGUUAAAGAUACAAGAGAAGAAUGUGAGAAAUCACACUGUGAGCAAACAAAUAAAUACAAACAGAUUACAGAGGUAUCACCAGUCCUUUAACAACCCCAUCACAAUUGCAAAAAAGCUGUUGGCCCAAGUCAUACUACUUUAUCGUUUACGUCCCUAUAAAACAGCCAUUCCAGGUUAUAACAGGGAAAUCAUAUUUAACAAAAAGUAAAGAAAAAGUUCACAAAUCUUCAGAUGUGCUUCACAACACCAUGGCCAUAUUGAGUUUGCACUCUUAAUUACACACUCAACCUUCACGCAACAAAUAAAAUGCAGGCUCAGAACUGAAAUUGUGUUACUCAGGAAAUUUAAAUCACCUAACAUUCUUCAAGUUCUAUGUGUAUAUAUGCUAUGGUUCAAUGUUCGGAAAAGACUGAUUACAAGAAGCAUGAAACUCAUUGCUGGUUGAAAUCAAUUUUGAGUUGGAACACGGGGACAAUGAAAGGAAUGUAACUAGAAAAAUAAUUUGUCUUUUAUUCAAUUGGAGUAUCUCUAACGCAUUGUGUACAUUAGGUUUUCCUAUUUUCUGGUUCCCUAACUCGUAUUAUCCUAUAGGCAAGAAGAUAUUGCAUAUAAGACUUUUGUUAUUUUCUUUCUCCCAUAGGAAAGAACGAACUGUGUAUUAAAAGUAAGUCAUUGAUAAAUAUAAAGAGUUUAGAUCAGGUGGCUAUAUACAUUAGGCAGUGGCUUGCGUUUCUUAUUUAUUCUUUCUCAUAUGCAGAAAGAAGUUGCUUAUAAAUAGUAUAAAGAAGGUAAAAUGAUUAAAAAAUACAACGUACUUUCACAAAUUUUUCACUUUAUACAAUGUACUAAAAAUCACGCCGAAAUAUCAAUGUACUUUGAAAAAAAAUUCACAUUAUACAAUCUGUCUAAAAUUGGCUAACGGACUACUUACGUGGCUAAUAAUUAUCUACAUGUAUUUUUUUUUUAAGAAAUGUUGAGUUGUAAAAUUAAAACCAACACAUCUACUUUAAAGCGUGUCAUCAGAUCAUGUCAACAAAUGUUUACAUCUAAACCGUCUAUUAAUCCCAAGAUGUUAGAGAUAUAGAUGUAUUAUUUUUUUUUAGUUGUUAUCUCUAUGAUAGAAAAUAUCAAACAUAGGAAACUAUGAAACCCUAAAUCAACAUUUCUUCCAUCUCUCUUUCUCAUGGCAACAUUGAACCCUAAAUCUUCUCUUUAAUUCUUCAAACCCUAAUUUUAAUUAAUCAUUUUCUCACAACUAAAACCCCUACUUUCAAUCAAACACUAAUGUAUGGUGAAUUGGUGAAUCUCAAGAAAGAAUCGGUGUGGAACAAUCUUGUUGUGUGUGUACAAGAAAAAUCUUCUUUCAAGUAAGUAGUAGUUAGUUUAACACUAAAAGAUGAAGACACAAAAGCUAGGGUUUGAAAUUGAAUUGGAGAUUUGAAUUGAGGAUUUACAGAUUUGGGGAUUUUUACAAUUGUUGAAUUAAAUUGUUAAAAUAUGGAAGAAGGAGGUCAAUCAUGUGAGAAACAUGUGCCUCAUUUGAUUUGUUGGAAAUGUUUUGUAAAUUUUUUUUUUUUAAAAUAUACGUAGAUAAUUAUUGGCCACGUAAGCAGUCUGUUAGCUAGUUUUAGACAGAUUGUAUAACGUGAAAUUUUUUUCAAAGUACAUUGAUAUUUUGACGAUAUUUUUAGUACAUUGUAUAAAGUGAAAAAUUUGUGAAAAAGUACGUUGUAUCUUUUGAUCAUUUUACCUAUAAAGAAUUUUAGCAAUUGUAACAUUAAAAGAGUUUUGACCAUGUGAUCCUAUAUAUAUUACACCACUGAAUCGCUCCAUCCCUUUUUCUCGUCUAAUAUGUAUUAAAAUAUUAAAUUUUAAUGAGCUUUCAUUCAUAUGCAGAAACAAAUUGCGUAAAUUAUAAACAUAAAAAAAAAAAAAUACACAACAACAACAACAUUCGCAUAGAUUAAAAUUAUAGAAAAACCAAAUUUUAGGCAUUAGAGAUUGUUUAGAAUAGGAUUUUCUGACAAUUUCAGAACGUUCUAUCCUCCUAUAUCCUUUCUAGCGCUAAUGUGCAUUCUAUCCCUCCUGCUCUGUACAACCUCCUAUAUCCUUUCUAGCACUAAUGUGUAUUCUAUCGCUCCUGCUCUGCACAAUGCAUUAGUCUUAGAGAUGCUCUUAUUCUCAUUUUUUUUAAGUUGUCAUUCUAAUGUUACACUCAAAUUCAGCAAAGAGGCACUAACAAGAGUUGCAUUUGUGUGAUUUUGUCAUUUAAGUGUACAAGCUAGCAAUUUGACAACUAGAGUUCUUCACAAUGGUUAAUGGUUAUCUAGAUGCAUGUCUAUGUAUACAACUGGCACAACCAACAUAACAUAAAACAAUGACACAAAAAAAAAAACAGUUGCAUACCGUUGAAAUGUGAUGUUGAAUUUAGCACUCCAUCUUCACCAUUGUACCUUAGUAGUCGAUUUGAAUGGGACAAGACUCGGAAUGUAAGACAUUAUUUUAAGAGGUGCAUUUUCGAUUCCACGAAUCUUGAGCUUUCUAGCUGUUCUUUGUUUUGAAUCAUAAAUAACUAAAUGGAUGCUAUCAGAGAUUAAAAUCUUAUCACUGUUGAAGAAGUGCAAUGGUAUCACCCGACUACCAAUUUCGUCAUUCUUGUUAAGGAUGGUGCGUGACCUCAAACGGCAUACCGAAGGAAAAAGUGUUUCAUCAAUGGCAAAUUGUUGAGUCCAUGAAUCCAUUAGACCAUAAUUGUUCAUUGCCCAAAUUUGAAUAUUACCAGUAGGGAAAUAACAUAACAUAGAAAGUUUUCCUCUCAGAAUCCGAACUCCGGUAAUACUAGCUCUUUCCCUAAACUGAUUGGGUGACAACAGCUGUUGAAAACUUGUCCCCUUCAUGUCAAAAGAGACUAUAGUUUCAAUCUCAAGUCUAUCUUCAUGAACUGCUACCCAAUGAAGAGAUCCAUUAAGGUAAAUCCCAGGAAUAUCUCCAUUUAAAAUUCUGUAAGGGACACCAAAGGUACUCAGACAUGUAGCUUGUCCAUCAUUAUUCAGGGAGUAAACAUCAACUAGAGAAUCACAGUCAUCAUAAAUAGACAAACUGCGGCGAACAUUUACAAGUUUGUAUUCACCAACAACAGAAUCAUAAGCAAGGCCAAAAGCAGAACAAUCAUGAACAUAUAAGGAUUUUCCUACAUUAAAAAACUUGCACUCUUUAGUACAAGGAUUCAGUAGGCAUAACUUAGACGGUGGCAUACACAAGCAAAUAAACCCAUUACAAGUAGCAAAAACUUCGGUUUCAGUACCAAUUUCUUUAAAUGGAUUUAUGAUAUGUUCUGCAUCAACUUCCUCAUCAUCAAAAGAAGAAAAGGAAGAAGAAUAAAACUGUGUCCUUCGUUUAAUACUAUAAAUAGUUGAUAAGAAAUUGGGACAAUUUAUUUCCAUUGAUCGAUUCAAGUGGGUUUGAAUAAAAUUAGAAAAAGGAUCUGUCAUCAAAUCGCACCAAGGUUUGUAUACCAACCUGAAUUGUUCUCUGAGUGAUUUUGCUGGAAGCCUCGUGAGAAUCUCGAAGAUUAUAUCAUCAUGAAUAAUAGCAUCUGUUGUUGACAUUAUUGUUUUUUGAAUUGCAAGAUUCUCUUCUUCGAAUCGUGAACCAGUAUGUGUUGUUGACAUUUUUUUCUAAAUGUAUUUAGGGUUUCUGAGAAUUUUUAGAUCGAGAGAGCUAUCCGCCGCCACUCUUUCUCUCUAGCAGUAUCGGGUUUUAUAGAUCAAAAGAAUUGGGCCGUAGGACCAAAUUCCAAUUCUCUUCUUUCAAGUUUCAACAACUCAUAAACGUCCGUGAGCCCGUAACCAGAUCUACAGACAGAAACUUUGGCUAUGAACUCUAUAACGUACAGGAGCGAAAUAUUCUCAGCAAUAUUAUCUAUGCAAAUUUUGAGGACCAUCGUUAAUUCAUUAUACUAAAUCUUUGAGAACCAUCGUUAAUUCAUUAUACUAAAUCUUUGAUAUUUGUGUAGAUUUUGUAGAAGCAACUUAUGUCGGUAACACAUAGGGAAUAUUUGUUUUGUUUAGUUAGAUAGUUAAUAUCACCUAAAAUUUAAGUGGGGUGUGCGUGCGUCAAGAGCAGGAACAGUCAGACCAGUAAAGUUUUUGGCACUCAAAUGUCGAAAUUUGCGUUACCCCCAUUUGAAAAAAUAUAGCACUUACCCCUCAAUUGUAUGGAAAAAAUAGACGAUGUUACAAAAAUUAAUUUUUAAAUUUUCGUAAAAUAAAAUAUUUUGAUAAUACCAAAACUACUCUUUUUUAAACAUGUAAAUAAUAAACAUAAUUAGUAAAAUCCCACCACUGAAACAUAAAUAAUUAACAAUACCCCAAAUCGAUUUGCAAAAGAAUUUGAAGGAGAAGAUAAAUUUUUAGGAAAAAAGAUGAAAUUUGUUUAAGAAAUUUGUUAAAUUUAAAGAACAUGAAAUUUAUUUGAGAAAAAUUAGGUUUAUUUAUAAACUUUGGGGGAUUUUGGAUUUUUGGAAAAAACAACAAAGUUGACCGUUAGAUUAAGUACUAAAUAGAUGGAUAAGAUUAUGACACAUGUCAUUAUUACUAGAAUAAAAAAGGUACUUUUGGUAUUAUCGAAAUAUUUUAUUUAAAAAAAUUUUAAAAAUUGAUUUUUGUAACACCGUUAAAUUUUUCCAUCCAGUUGGGGGUAACUGCUAUAUUUUUUCAUAUAGGGGUAACUCAAAUUUCGACUAUCAAAUGGGAGGUAAGUGCCUAAAGAGUUAAUUGUUUUUUCUGUCUAAGAAAUAAUUUCUUGCAUCUAUCUUAUUUUUUUUUAUUUAUUGUAGAUUAUGAAACUGGUGCCAUAUUAUGGAGAGUUUGAUUCCAUACACUGAUGUGGAUCUGUUGGUGCAGAAUCCUUAAAUUGAAGAAGAUUAACAUUUCAUCAGACUCCAAGAGAUAACACAGCUAUUAAUACACGGAGUCUAUAUUUUUAAGUGCACACAGUCUAUUACAAACAUGAACACAAACAAACUGUUUUGCAUAAGUUGAUGCCCAUGGUGAAUGAGCUGCAAAGUUAGUACAAAUAACGUUAAGGUGAUGGAUAUCUUCAGUAAAAUUUAAGAAUACAUGAGAGGAAUGUGAGAAAUCAAUCCUUUAAUAAGAGAUUAGGAGUUAAUUGAAAAGUAAAAUUAAAUUGAACAAGGCAGAGCCUAGAGGUUAAAGAUACAAAAGAAGAAGGUGAGAAAUCACACUGUGAGCAAACAAAUAAAUACAAACAGAUUACAGAGGUAUCACCAGUCCUUUAACAACCCCAUCACAAUUGCAAAAAAAGCUGUUGGCCCACGACAUACUACUUUAUCGUUUACGUCCCUAUAAAACAGCCAUUCCAGGUUAUAACAGAGAAAUCAUAUUUAACAAAAAGUAAAGAACAAAAAGUAAAGAAACGGUUCACAAAUCUUCAGAUGUGCUUCACAACACCAUGGCCAUAUUGAGUUUGCACUCUUAAUUACACACUCAACCUUCAAGCAACAAAUAAAAUGCAGGUUCAGAACUGAGAUUGUGUUACUCAGUCAAUUUAAAUCACUUAACAUUCUUCAAGUUCUAUGUGUAUAUAGGCUGUGGUUCAAUGUUCGGAAAAGACUGAUUACAAGAAGCAUGAAACUCAUUGCUGGUCGAAAUCAAUUUUGAGUUGGAACACGGGGACAAUGAAAGGAAUGUAACUAGAAAAAUAAUUUGUCUUUCAUUCAAUUGGAGGAUCUCUAACGCAUUGUGUACAUUAGGUUUUCCUAUUUUCUGGUUCCCUAACUCGCAUUCUUUAGGCAAGAAGAUAUUGCAUAUAAGACUUUUGUUAUUUUCUUUCUCCCAUAGGCAAGAAGGAACUGUGUAUUAAAAGUUUAAGUCAGUGAUAAAUAUAAAGAGUUUAGGUCAGGUGGCUAUAUACAUUAGACAGUGGCUUGCGUUUCUUAUUUAUUCUUUCUCAUAUGCAGAAAGAAGCUACUUAUAAAGAGUAUAAAGAAGGUAAAAUGAUUAAAAAAUACAAUGUACUUUCACAAAUUUUUCACUUUAUACAAUGUACUAAAAUCACGCCAAAAAAUCAAUUU